rnacentral:rRNA from 1 species
AGAGUUUGAUCCUGGCUCAGGACGAACGCUGGCGGCAUGCCUAAUACAUGCAAGUCGAACGAUGAAGCACUCUGCUUGCAGAGUGCGGAAGAGUGGCGAACGGGUGAGUAACACGUGGGGAACCUGCCCAUAAGAGGGGGAUAACAUCCGGAAACGGGUGCUAAUACCGCAUAGGUGAUCAUAGCGCAUGCUUAGAUCAUUAAAGAUGGCUUCGGCUAUCGCUUAUGGAUGGCCCCGCGGCGUAUUAGCUAGUUGGUAAGGUAAUGGCUUACCAAGGCAGUGAUACGUAGCCGACCUGAGAGGGUGAUCGGCCACACUGGGACUGAGACACGGCCCAGACUCCUACGGGAGGCAGCAGUAGGGAAUCUUCCACAAUGGGCGAAAGCCUGAUGGAGCAAUGCCGCGUGAGUGAAGAAGGUCUUCGGAUCGUAAAGCUCUGUUGUUAGAGAAGAACAAGAGGUGUAGUAACUGGCACCUCCUUGACGGUAUCUAACCAGAAAGUCACGGCUAACUACGUGCCAGCAGCCGCGGUAAUACGUAGGUGACAAGCGUUGUCCGGAUUUAUUGGGCGUAAAGCGAGCGCAGGCGGUCUUUUAAGUCUGAUGUGAAAGCCCACGGCUCAACCGUGGAUGGUCAUUGGAAACUGGAAGACUUGAAUGCAGAAGAGGAAAGUGGAAUUCCAUGUGUAGCGGUGAAAUGCGUAGAUAUAUGGAGGAACACCAGUGGCGAAGGCGACUUUCUGGUCUGUAAUUGACGCUGAGGCUCGAAAGCGUGGGGAGCGAACAGGAUUAGAUACCCUGGUAGUCCACGCCGUAAACGAUGAGUGCUAAGUGUUGGAGGGUUUCCGCCCUUCAGUGCUGGAGCUAACGCAUUAAGCACUCCGCCUGGGGAGUACGGCCGCAAGGCUGAAACUUAAAGGAAUUGACGG